AUAAUGAUGUGGACACUAAAAUUACUUUUUGGUACGACAGGAUUCUGAUGUUUGAGUGUAAUUUUUUCAACCUGUAAGAUAUGAGGACGAAUAUUUUUAGCUUUUGUAUAGCUUGAGGAACAUAGUUUAUGUAUAUUGGUUUUGUGUGAAUGUGACUAUUCUCGAUAGUUUAAAUAGAUCUUUUUAUGAUGGAAUAUGUUGUUUCCAGUUUUAAUUCUCUCUGCCAAUCGAAGUCUUUCAGAGGGAUUUAGUCUUAGUGUUUGCAUACCUAUGAUGUUUAUUCUAGCAAAAAAAGGGAAAUCUACCACUGUUUUGUAAUGUUAACUUUUGAUAUAGGUUAUUUGAUUAAUCUUUUAUUUUGUUGCUUCAGUUCAGUCGAGGUUGAGCAGUCUAUACUUGAUCACAGUAGAUUUUGUAACAAGAAAAUAGGUUGAUGAUAUUUAACUUUCAUCAUCAAGUUCUGAGGUUUGUGUUUUUCUCCAAUUAAUUAUUCUUUUAGAUUGAACAUGUCUAUACUCGUCACAUGCUUAGAGACAUAUCUUGCCAUGAAAAGAAUCUGGACUUGAUGCUGGAUCUGUGCACCAAAAGAACUGUAACUACUUUUACUGAUGAUGACUUGGAAAGCCUCAAAUUUUUGAUAAAUUCUGCUAGAUGUUAGGCACCCAAUAAAAGAGAGUUUGAACAAGUUCCCUCGAAGGACUAGUACACCAUCUAGGGUUCACAAUCAAGCACAACAAGCUGAAGAACAGCUACAACAUCAGCAACAAUAGCAUCAUCCAAACUAUAGUUUGAAGUAAAAAAUGUUCAAGAUUAUAAAACUUUAUUAUGUUAAGCUUUCAAAUUUAAGUUAGAACUAAGAUCUCAUGAAGUAGACACAUUCAUGGUUUGAAUUAGUUAUUGUUUAAUGUAAUACUUAUGGUUUAUCAAUCUAUUGAGAAUUACAUUUUAUGAUUAA